UACGUAGGGUGCAAGCGUUGUCCGGAAUUAUUGGGCGUAAAGAGCUCGUAGGCGGUCUGUCGCGUCUGCUGUGAAAUCCCGGGGCUCAACCCCGGGCUUGCAGUGGAUACGGGCAGACUAGAGUUCGGUAGGGGAGACUGGAAUUCCUGGUGUAGCGGUGAAAUGCGCAGAUAUCAGGAGGAACACCGGUGGCGAAGGCGGUUCUCUGGGAAUGACCUGACGCUGAGGAGCGAAAGUGUGGGGAGCGAACAGG
rnacentral:rRNA from 1 species